CAGGAAGUGAAACUUCUCAUUACCUAUGAAACCUUUCAAGAAAAAAGGCAUUAUACAUGGAUACUUUCAAAAUAAAAGGCAACUUGCCAAGGUGCUGAAUUGUUUUUGUCCAACAGGAAACUGGCCGAGCUGAGUGUCAUGUUUCACCUCGACCACCUAGUGUUAUUUUUGACAGCGGCUCAGUUUCAGGUGGUUUUCUGUUUUGAUGGCAUCUGGUUGCAGCUUCGGUGGUUUUUAAUUGGACCAGAAACCCUGCAGGAAGUUACCAAGAGAAAAAACAGACAUGCUUUUGGUUCUUUAGGACUUUCAACAGCAGCUGAAACAGUUUAAGUGGCUUUAUUUGAUCAGACACGAUAAAGUGACUUCAUAAAGUGCAGUUCGAAUACAUCAUUGUUGCUUACCAAAAUAAAGGGCCAUGCAUUCGGCAUUUGUUCUGCCUCCGAGCUGGGCUGGGCUUUUUUUGUUUUUUUUUGCGGUUGAAGCUAAACUUGAUCUUCGGUUCAGUUCUUGAAUUAGUGAAUGGACUUUAAUCUGAAGACGGGCUCCUCUUUAACGCUGCGAGUGCCACUCAGGAUAGAUGUUCUCAGGCUUACUUCACAGGUGUUUCCUCACAUCUGUAUGUCAAUAACAUCUGCAGGUUAAAAUGCCUUCUUGAAAUAAAAGAUUUUUUCUUAAAGCAAAUGACCUGUUGUCUCCUCACACACAAUUUGACACCUCUGCGUUUAAUUUUUUUUUCUAUGUGUUGACGUUACAGAAAAAAACCUCAUGAAUUUAUGGUGAAGAUGAUGAGCGUCUUCCAAACCAUAACAGCAGGUCUCACUGCAAACCCACUCCUGCCUGCUCUUUCUUCUUCACCUCUCUGUGGAUGGUUGACCACCAUCCUCUCACAUUCACAUUUUCACCUACCUCCCUUGCACACACAUACUUUAUUUUAAUCAGUGUUAUGACAUCUUUAAAAGGAAAAGGUUGUGAGGUUUGGAGGUGCAUUCAAUCUCAGCUGUUUAAAUCCACACUUCCUGUCACAUGUCCUGAUAUCAGGUCAGCAGAAUCCCUU
ensembl:lncRNA